GACGAACGCUGGCGGCGUGCUUAACACAUGCAAGUCGAACGGUGAAGCGCCUUCCUUUUUGGUGGGUGUGGAUGAGUGGCGAACGGGUGAGUAACACGUGAGUAACCUGCCCCCUUCUUCUGGAUAACCGCAUGAAAGUGUGGCUAAUACGGGAUAUUCUGUGCCUGCUGCAUGGUGGGUGUGGGAAAGAUUGUGCCUUUGGGUGUUUUCGGUGGGGGAUGGGCUCGCGGCCUAUCAGCUUGUUGGUGGGGUGAUGGCCUACCAAGGCGGUGACGGGUAGCCGGCCUGAGAGGGUGGACGGUCACACUGGGACUGAGACACGGCCCAGACUCCUACGGGAGGCAGCAGUGGGGAAUAUUGCACAAUGGGCGCAAGCCUGAUGCAGCGACGCCGCGUGAGGGAUGGAGGCCUUCGGGUUGUGAACCUCUUUCGCCAGUGAAGCAGGCCUGCCCCUGGUGGGUGGGUUGACGGUAGCUGGAUAAGAAGCGCCGGCUAACUACGUGCCAGCAGCCGCGGUAAUACGUAGGGCGCGAGCGUUGUCCGGAAUUAUUGGGCGUAAAGAGCUCGUAGGCGGCUGGUCGCGUCUGUCGUGAAAUCCUCUGGCUUAACUGGGGGCUUGCGGUGGGUACGGGCCGGCUUGAGUGCGGUAGGGGAGACUGGAACUCCUGGUGUAGCGGUGGAAUGCGCAGAUAUCAGGAAGAACACCGGUGGCGAAGGCGGGUCUCUGGGCCGUUACUGACGCUGAGGAGCGAAAGCGUGGGGAGCGAACAGG
rnacentral:rRNA from 1 species